rnacentral:rRNA from 1 species
UACGAAGGGGGCUAGCGUUGUCCGGAAUUACUGGGCGUAAAGCGCACGUAGGCGGCUUUGCAAGUUAGAGGUGAAAGCCCGGGGCUCAACUCCGGAAUUGCCUUUAAAACUGCAUCGCUAGAAUUGUGGAGAGGUAAGUGGAAUUCCGAGUGUAGAGGUGAAAUUCGUAGAUAUUCGGAAGAACACCAGUGGCGAAGGCGACUUACUGGACACAUAUUGACGCUGAGGUGCGAAAGCGUGGGGAGCAAACAGG